rnacentral:rRNA from 1 species
UACGAAGGGGGCGAGCGUUGUUCGGAUUUACUGGGCGUAAAGGGCGCGUAGGCGGCCUUGUCAGUCAGGCGUGAAAGCCCCGGGCUCAACCUGGGAAUGGCGAUGGAUACUGGCUCGCUAGAGUGCGGUAGAGGAGAGUGGAAUUCCCGGUGUAGCAGUGAAAUGCAUUGAGAUCGGAAAGAACACCAACGGCGAAAGCACUCUGCUGGGCCGACACUGACACUGAGAGACGAAAGCUAGGGGAGCAAAUGGG